GUUGUGGCUCAGAGGUGGAGUACAUGCCUGGCAUGUGUGAGGCCCUGAGUUCCAUUCCCAGCAAACACA
rnacentral:tRNA from 1 species